rnacentral:rRNA from 1 species
AGUGAACGCUGGCGGUAGGCCUAACACAUGCAAGUCGAACGGUAGCACAGUAAGAGCUUGCUCUUACGGGUGGCGAGUGGCGGACGGGUGAGGAAUACAUCGGAAUCUACUUUUUCGUGGGGGAUAACGUAGGGAAACUUAUGCUAAUACAGCAUACGACCUACGGGUGAAAGCAGGGGAUCUUCGGACAUUGCGAGAAUGAAUGAGCCGAUGUGGGAUUGGUUAGUUGGCGGGGUAAAGGCCCACCAAGGCGAGGAACGUUACCUGGUCUAAGUGGGUGAUCACCCACACUGGAACUGGAACACGGUCCAAACUCCUACGGGAGGCGGCAGAGGGGAAUAUUGGACAAUGGGCGCAAGCCUAAUCCAGCCAUACCGCGUGGGUGAAAAAGGCCUUCGGGUUGUAAAGCCCGUUUGUUGGGAAAGAAAAGCGGCAGAUUAAUACCCCGCUGUUCUGACGGUACCCAAAGAAUAAGCACCGGCUAACUUCGUG